CAUCCCCGCACGAGCGCCUCCGUAUUGUCCUUGCUGCCGGAAAGAGGAACCCCAGCGACAGAGCGGGGCACGGCGGGAGCGGAGCCGACGGCGGCGCGAUGCCUGCGCCCCCUCUCCUCCGCUCAGUCCCCCGCGCUGCUCCCCCCUUGGCUCCGGCGGCGACUCGCAGUGCGCAGCGGCUCGGCCCGGCCUCGGCCCCGGCCCGGCCCCGUCACGUGGGCGUCUAGACACCGUGUCGCUCCAGGGGAAAAAAAAAACCCUAUAUAUUAUAUUUACCUCCAACCGCCUUACACAAUCGACGACUGGGGUUGCUGAAAGGUUGUGGGUCCCCCCCUUCCCCUUCCCUUAUCCCAAUCUCCAUCCGUGCCCCAGGAUGAGGGGGCCCCCUCCGGGAGCACGGCGAGGGUGCGGAGCGGCUGGUCUCUUCCCUACACCCAGCGGGGCAGAGCAGAGGGAGCCUCCGGGGCCGGGGUGUGACGAAGCCCACUGUGCUGUUCUGUGAAUGUUCUGGACAUUCCUGGGAAAUGGUCGAUGAUCACCCAGGAAGGACUCAUUCAUUCGUUAAUAGUCAUGAUUUUAUCUGGGCGAGUCUGGGAAAUCUUUUGAAUAGAAAGGAAAGCCCUGCUUCUGGCCAUGUGGGUCAGAGGCAUGGUUGGAUCUUUAUAAUUUUUAUACAGUUACAAAGCAUGAAUUAUCUCUAUCAUAUACUACAGCGUGAACAGUAGAACACAAUAUAAAUAUAGCUUGCUUUUUGCAAUAAAUCGGCUUCACUUCAUCAUAUUGAUCAUGGCAUGAUGUCCCGUUCGUGAUCCUCCGCAGCAGAGGAUGGGGAAACUGAGUCACCAAGAGGCUGUGCAGCUCUACCGGCCCUGCUGCACUCUGUGGCAGAGCUGAGAAGUCCAGAUAGACUUCCUAGCGCCAGGUUUCGCAGGGCAGAAGCCCCCAAGGGUCCCCAUCCCACAUGUACUCCCACAGAGGUGUAGCUCCUUUUUCAUAUGAUAAGUGCAGGUGCAUAAGUUGCUUCAAGGUCACUCAGUAAGUCAGUUAUCACAUUGGAAAGGAAAGCCAAGGCUUAAAUCAUGGCUGCUGAAAGCUAAUCUAAUUCUAAAACAGUUGCACCCAACUAAAUGGCAAUACCAGCCAUAAACCACAUAAAACUAAUACACCAUGCAGGCAGGGCAUCCCUGGGGUGCCUGUCCUGAAUACCUGCCUUUGGUGCUGGCAGGAGAGCAGGAAUAAUUUUAAAGCCCAGUCAUGCAAACAUUAAUGUGAGCAGGUCAGUGGGAACAAACAAAGAGAAGCUGGAAAGAAAGGAACCAGGAAAGAAGGAAUAGGAGAAAGGCUCCAAGAGCAGGAGGUGCAGUUAGUUCAGAUUUUGCCCCAAUCUCAUAGGGGAGGGGUUCUUUACCAAUGAGUGAGAUAAAGAACAGCUUUAAAUUAGAUGCUGGUUUUUGGAAGUCUUUUUUCUGUUAGCUGUAAUAAGUGGUAACAUCUGUAGUGCAGAGGAAAUUAGCUUGCCAGGAUGGCAUUGGCAGAAUAUGUGGCUUACUUGGGCCAAUGCUACUGGAGCAGAUUCUUUUUGUUUAUCCUUAGCCAUGCCCUGAGAUCCUUUUCGCACAUGUCUAAUUGGUAUCCCAGUGAGUAAUUUUACUGGUUUUGCAAAGUGGGUAAGAGCUAGAGGAAAGCCAUAUGUGGGAAUAAAUAGAUCAAGUGCAGAGAAUCAUUGGUGCAACAUCACCAAAGGUAGUACAAAAUUGGACAUAUGCUAAAGGCUGGGAAUUAAGCCAAACGGCGAAGGCUUCCAAACAGGUAUGAUAACACAAUCACUGAAUGAAACUGGACUAGAACCCAAAGAACUAGACCUGUUAGGAUCAGUUCCUGGGAAUUAUUGCUUGUUUUUUAACUACUUUCUGGACCCAAAAAGGACUAAUAUGAGCAAUUUUCUAGUCCCACAUCCCAAGAAUAAUAGUGUUGUUCUUAAUCCCAAUUCUCCAUGGUAUAAGAACAUGGCCAAAUACUGCCACAAUUGGACUUACCAUGGCAGUGCUGGUGCAAAUGUGACUGUAAGAAAGCUUCCACCAGGUAUCUUUUUAAUUUGUGGGGAUAGAGCCUGGCCUGCAGUUCCAAGUAAUCCAUUUGGUGGACCUUGUUACUUAGGAAAACUAACCAUGUUUGUCCCUAGCAUGUGAGAGAUGCUGAAUCAGACUAUCUGGAGAGCAGGACAUAGCAAAAGAACUAAAAGAGCAAUCACAAGCUUAAGAUCUAAUUGUAAGAUCAUGUAGAGCUUUGGGGUGCUCCAGCAAGAAUCAUAGCAUCAGUCCUUGCUCCAGGUGUUGCGGCUGCUCAGGCUUUGACUACAUUGAAUAAGUUGGGAUGCUGGACAGCUAAGCAACUGAACACAACUUCAGCUAUUCUAAAUCAAAUGCUCACUGAUGUAGGUAGUAUUAGACAUGGCACACUGCAAAAUAGAGAGAGCUGCUAUAGAUUUUUCAUUGUUAGCACAUGGGCAUGGGUGUGAGGAGUUUGAAGGGAUGCGUUGUAUGAACCUUUCUGACAAUUCUGCAUCCAUUCACAAAAAACUCAAACAACUACAAGAUAACGAAGAAAUUGACUGUGAAUGACUGGGGUUUGGAUGAAUGGUUCAAGGGAUUGGGAAUAACUAGAUGGUUGAAAGAUAUGGUAAAGGGAACUUGGUUAGUUUUAGUAGUUAUUAUUUUAUUGCCUUGCAUUAUUCCAUGCAUAAUUAAGUUGGUGACCCUUAGUAGAGAACACAGGAAAGAGGGUCUGGCUGGUGCAAGAAGAAGAAGGGGGAAUUGUAGCAAUGUAUCUGAACAAUUUAGGCCUCAGUGUGCACCAGCCAUACCAUCUGUAACUGUUCUUAUCAGAAUUUCCUCAGGGCACCGUGGAAUUCAUGAAGGUUGCUAAGACAUAAACUGUGCUAAAAUAAGAACAAAGAAGCUGAGAGACUGCAUACCAAGAUCGCAAGAACUAGAUAACAGAGGACUGUAGAACACCUGCACGGUAACCAAUCAUGGAUGCUGAGAAAUGGAGGCAGAGAAGGAGGGAACAAGACAAAGGCACCAGUCAAGAAGUGUGAUCUUAGUAGUUUGUAGAAUCUAUAAAAGUGUGUGUAAUGUAAAGAAUAAACAGCUUCUGCUUGAUCAU